GGGUCGUUAGCUCAAUUGGUUUAGUAGCACUUGACUUUUAAUCAAUAGGUUCCGAGUUCGAGUCUCGGACGACCCACCA
rnacentral:tRNA from 1 species